rnacentral:tRNA from 1 species
UUUCUACUGGCUCAGACGGUAAAGAAUCUGCCUGCCAUGCAGGAGACCCAGGUUCAAUCCCUGGGUGGGGAA